rnacentral:tRNA from 3 species
GCCGCCUUAGCUCAGUUGGUAGAGCAUAUCUUUCGUAAAGAUAAGGUCCGCGGUUCGAUCCCGCGAGGCGGCUCCA